CCCUGAACGGUGGAUCACUUGGCUCGUGGGUCGAUGAAGAACGCAGCUAAUUGCGCGUCAACUUGUGAACUGCAGGACACAUGAACAUCGACA
rnacentral:rRNA from 12 species